rnacentral:rRNA from 1 species
CAGCAGCCGCGGUAAUACGUAGGGUGCAAGCGUUAAUCGGAAUUACUGGGCGUAAAGCGUGCGCAGGCGGUUCGUUAAGACAGAUGUGAAAUCCCCGGGCUUAACCUGGGAACUGCAUUUGUGACUGGCGGGCUAGAGUAUGGCAGAGGGGGGUAGAAUUCCACGUGUAGCAGUGAAAUGCGUAGAGAUGUGGAGGAAUACCGAUGGCGAAGGCAGCCCCCUGGGCCAAUACUGACGCUCAUGCACGAAAGCGUGGGGAGCAAACAGGAUUAGAUACCCGAGUAGUCCCUGUCUCUUAUAC